rnacentral:rRNA from 1 species
GUGGGGAAUAUUGGACAAUGGGCGAAAGCCUGAUCCAGCCAUGCCGCGUGUGUGAAGAAGGUCUUCGGAUUGUAAAGCACUUUAAGUUGGGAGGAAGGGCAGUAAGUUAAUACCUUGCUGUUUUGACGUUACCAACAGAAUAAGCACCGGCUAACUUCGUGCCAGCAGCCGCGGUAAUACGAAGGGUGCAAGCGUUAAUCGGAAUUACUGGGCGUAAAGCGCGCGUAGGUGGUUCAGCAAGUUGAAGGUGAAAUCCCCGGGCUCAACCUGGGAACUGCAUCAAAAACUGGCGAGCUAGAGUACGGUAGAGGGUGGUGGAAUUUCCUGUGUAGCGGUGAAAUGCGUAGAUAUAGGAAGGAACACCAGUGGCGAAGGCGACCACCUGGACUGAUACUGACACUGAGGUGCGAAAGCGUGGGGAGCAAACAGGAUUAGAAACCCUUGUAGUCC